UUGAUGACUGCUGAACUAAAACCCAGCAAAUAAAAUAUAUCAUGUCUUCUUCAGUGAAGUUCAUGAAAAGCAGCAAAAUAAAAAAAAACUGGGUUAGAAAGUUAAAACAUAAAAAGCAGUAGAGUACGUACACUACCAGUCAAUAUCAUAAACUUUAAUUCCUUCUAUUAACUUCAAAUGUAAACAGAUUUAUUCUUUUUAGUUAUUUAGUAUUGGAUCAUCUCACACAAAUGCAAAAAAGGUGCUUUACAAUGUAAUAAAACAAACAAACAAGCAAUACAGAGAAGGAAAAGACGACAAAACAGAGAAGAGACGAUCAGAUUAAAGCAGAUUCAGCACAGUUCUGUAUUUACCUGCAGUCGUCAAAUGAAUCUGUGAUGACGUCUGAUUACCGAGUUCAUUUGUGGCCACACAGUAAUAAACUCCUCCAUCAGUGACAUUGGUCACCUUGAAGCUGUAAACCUCUCCUUCAGAUACAUUCUUGGGUCCAUCUGUGCUGUUCUUGAACCAGGUGAAGCGGCUGACGGGAGGCUUGGCUCUGCUGGAGCAGGUCAGGUUCAUCCAGCUACCUGCUGACACCAAACCUGAUGGACUGAUGGACACUGAGGUGUUUUUAGGAGCAUCUGAGGAAAAUACUACCUGGAACUGCCUGCCUGCCCACCUGCUUCACAUUCACCACAUCAGCCUAACCACACCGCUCCGUUUUCCCUGUUUGGAUCUGGAUCAUCUUUCGUGCCCCCCGUGAACUGAUUGAAAUAUUUCCUACGAUAAACUCCCUUUGUACAAA